UAGGGAAUCUUCGGCAAUGGACGAAAGUCUGACCGAGCAACGCCGCGUGAGUGAAGAAGGUUUUCGGAUCGUAAAACUCUGUUGGUAGAGAAGAACGUUGGUGAGAGUGGAAAGCUCAUCAAGUGACGGUAACUACCCAGAAAGGGACGGCUAACUACGUGCCAGCAGCCGCGGUAAUACGUAGGUCCCGAGCGUUGUCCGGAUUUAUUGGGCGUAAAGCGAGCGCAGGUGGUUUAUUAAGUCUGGUGUAAAAGGCAGUGGCUCAACCAUUGUAUGCAUUGGAAACUGGUAGACUUGAGUGCAGGAGAGGAGAGUGGAAUUCCAUGUGUAGCGGUGAAAUGCGUAGAUAUAUGGAGGAACACCGGUGGCGAAAGCGGCUCUCUGGCCUGUAACUGACACUGAGGCUCGAAAGCGUGGGGAGCGAACAGGAUUAGAUACCCUGGUAGUCCACGCCGUAAACGAUGAGUGCUAGAUGUAGGGAGCUAUAAGUUCUCUGUAUCGCAGCUAACGCAAUAAGCACUCCGCCUGGGGGAGUACGACCGCAAGGUUGAAAC
rnacentral:rRNA from 1 species